rnacentral:rRNA from 1 species
UACGGAGGGUGCAAACGUUGCUCGGAAUCAUUGGGCGUAAAGCGCGCGUAGGCGGCGAGGCAAGUUGGAUGUGAAAGCCCUGGGCUCAACCUAGGAUGUGCAUACAAAACUGCCUCGCUUGAAUCUCGGAGGGGGUCAGGGAAUUCCCGGUGUAGAGGUGAAAUUCGUAGAUAGCGGGAGGAACACCAGUGGCGAAGGCGCUGACCUGGACGAUGAUUGACGCUGAGGCGCGAAAGCGUGGGGAGCAAACAGG